GAGAAUGAUGAUAUUAGUUGUCGCCCCAGUCUUAUAGGCAUCUUCAGAUGCCUGAUGGUGAUUGACAUACUCUAUCUGAUUC